UACGUAGGGUGCAAGCGUUGUCCGGAAUUAUUGGGCGUAAAGCGCGUGUAGGCGGCUCGUUAUGUCGGGUGUGAAAGCCCUCAGCUUAACUGAGGAAGUGCGCCCGAAACUGGCGAGCUUGAGUGUCGGAGAGGAUAGCGGAACACCCGGUGUAGAGGUGAAAUUCGUAGAUAUCGGGUAGAACACCAGUGGCGAAGGCGGCUAUCUGGACGACAACUGACGCUGAGACGCGAAAGCGUGGGGAGCAAACAGG
rnacentral:rRNA from 1 species